UGAGGAAUAUUGGUCAAUGGACGCAAGUCUGAACCAGCCAUGCCGCGUGAAGGAUGAAGGCCUUCUGGGUUGUAAACUUCUUUUAUCUGGGAAGAAACCUCCGAUUUCUAUUGGAGCCGACGGUACCAGAGGAAUAAGCACCGGCUAACUCCGUGCCAGCAGCCGCGGUAAUACGGAGGGUGCAAGCGUUAUCCGGAUUCACUGGGUUUAAAGGGUGUGUAGGCGGAUAUUUAAGUCAGUGGUGAAAUCUCCGAGCUCAACUCGGAAACUGCCAUUGAUACUAUUUAUCUUGAAUAUCGUUGAGGUAGGCGGAAUAUGUCAUGUAGCGGUGAAAUGCUUAGAGAUGACAUAGAACACCGAUUGCGAAGGCAGCUUACUAAACGAUCAUUGACGCUGAGGCACGAAAGCGUGGGGAUCAAACA
rnacentral:rRNA from 1 species